ensembl:miRNA cja-mir-9917-1 cja-mir-9917-1
AGGAAAACAAAGGUUUUCUUAAUAGCAUUUACAGUCUUUACAGCACAUGACUGUAAAGACUGUAAAUGCUAUUAAGAAAACUUUUUUUUUCCU